rnacentral:rRNA from 1 species
CACGUAGGGCGCAAGCGUUGUCCGGAAUUAUUGGGCGUAAAGAGCUCGUAGGCGGUCUGUUGCGUCCGCUGUGAAAACUCGGGGCUUAACCCCGAGCCUGCAGUGGAUACGGGCAGACUAGAGGUAGGUAGGGGAGAAUGGAAUUCCCCGGUGUAGCGGUGAAAUGCGCAGAUAUCAGGAGGAACACCGAUGGCGAAGGCAGGUCACUGGGCCGCAACUGACGCUGAGGAGCGAAAGCAUGGGGAGCGAACAGG